rnacentral:rRNA from 1 species
GAGUUCCUCGCUGCGUGCUUACACGUGCGAGUCGAACGCUGAAGCCUGGUGCUUGCACCGGGUGGAUGAGUGGCGAACGGGUGAGUAACACGUGAGUAACCUGCCCCUGACUUCGGGAUAAGCCCGGGAAACUGGGUCUAAUACCGGAUACGACUGCCGGACGCAUGUCUGGUGGUGGAAAGUUUUUUCGGUUGGGGAUGGGCUCGCGGCCUAUCAGUUUGUUGGUGAGGUAAUGGCUCACCAAGACGACGACGGGUAGCCGGCCUGAGAGGGCGACCGGCCACACUGGGACUGAGACACGGCCCAGACUCCUACGGGAGGCAGCAGUGGGGAAUAUUGCACAAUGGGGGAAACCCUGAUGCAGCGACGCAGCGUGCGGGAUGACGGCCUUCGGGUUGUAAACCGCUUUCAGCAGGGAAGAAGCGCAAGUGAUCGGUACCUGCAGAAGAAAGUUCCGGCUAACUACGUGCCGGCAGCCGCGUUAAUACGUAGGGUACGAGCGUUGUCCGGAAUUAUUGGGCGUAAAGAGCUCGUAGGUGGUUGGUCACGUCUGCUGUGGAAACGCAACGCUUAACGUUGCGCGUGCAGUGGGUACGGGCUGACUAGAGUGCAGUAGGGGAGUCUGGAAUUCCUGGUGUAGCGGUGAAAUGCGCAGAUAUCAGGAGGAACACCGGUGGCGAAGGCGGGACUCUGGGCUGUAACUGACACUGAGGAGCGAAAGCAUGGGGAGCGAACAGGAUUAGAUACCCUGGUAGUCCAUGCCGUAAACGUUGGGCACUAGGUGUGGGGGGCAUUCCACGUUCUCCGCGCCGUAGCUAACGCAUUAAGUGCCCCGCCUGGGGAGUACGGUCGCAAGGCUAAAACUCAAAGGAAUUGACGGGGGCCUGCACAAGCGGCGGAGCAUGCGGAUUAAUUCGAUGCAACGCGAAGAACCUUACCAAGGCUUGACAUACACCGGACCGUCCUGGAAACAGGUCCUCUUCUUUGAAGCUGGUGUACAGGUGGUGCAUGGUUGUCGUCAGCUCGUGUCGUGAGAUGUUGGGUUAAGUCCCGCAACGAGCGCAACCCUCGUUCUAUGUUGCCAGCACGUGAUGGUGGGAACUCAUAGGAGACUGCCGGGGUCAACUCGGAGGAAGGUGGGGAUGACGUCAAAUCAUCAUGCCCUUUAUGUCUUGGGCUUCACGCAUGCUACAAUGGCUGGUACAGAGAGAGGCGAACCCGUGAGGGCAAGCGAAUCCCUUAAAGCCAGUCUCAGUUCGGAUCGUAGUCUGCAAUUCGACUACGUGAAGUCGGAGUCGCUAGUAAUCGCAGAUCAGCAACGCUGCGGUGAAUACGUUCCCGGGCCUUGUACACACCGCCCGUCAAGUCACGAAAGUCGGUAACACCCGAAGCCGGUGGCCUAACCGUAAGGAGGGGGCCGUCUAAGGUGUACCGGGA